rnacentral:rRNA from 1 species
GACGUAGGGUGCAAGCGUUGUCCGGAUUUAUUGGGCGUAAAGAGCUCGUAGGCGGCUUGUUGCGUCGACUGUGAAAACUCGAGGCUUAACCGCGAGCUUGCGGCGGAAACCAUCUGGCUAGAGUGCGGAAGAGGAGAAUGGAAUUCCCGGUGUAGCGGUGAAAUGCGCAGAUAUCGGGAAGAACACCCGUGGCGAAGGCGGUUCUCUGGGCCUUACCUGACGCUGAGGAGCGAAAGCGUGGGGAGCGAACAGG